rnacentral:tRNA from 1 species
GGAGCUGUAGCUCAAUGGUAGAGCUGCUUGCCCAGCAUGCAUGAGGACUUGGGUUAAAUUCCCAGCACCG